rfam:Oryza sativa Japonica Group DNA, chromosome 9, cultivar: Nipponbare, complete sequence.
GCCUUGAUGGUAAAAUGGUAGACACGCGAGACUCAGAAUCUCGUGCUAAUAAGCGUGGAGGUUCGAGUCCUCUUCAAGGUA